AUUGAACGCUGGCGGCAGGCCUAACACAUGCAAGUCGAGCGAACCUAGCUUGCUAGGUGAGCGGCGAACGGGUGAGUAACGCGUAGGAAUCUGCCUGGUAGUGGGGGACAACGCUCCGAAAGGAACGCUAAUACCGCAUACGCCCUACGGGGGAAAGCAGGGGAACUUCGGACCUUGCGCUAUCAGAUGAGCCGGCGUCGGAUUAGCUAGUUGGUAGGGUAAAGGCCUACCAAGGCGACGAUCCGUAACUGGUCUGAGAGGAUGAUCAGUCACACCGGAACUGAGACACGGUCCGGACUCCUACGGGAGGCAGCAGUGGGGAAUAUUGGACAAUGGGGGCAACCCUGAUCCAGCCAUGCCGCGUGUGUGAAGAAGGCCUUCGGGUUGUAAAGCACUUUAGGUCGGGAGGAAGGUUCGCUGGCUAAUAUCCAGCGGAAUUGACGUUACCGACAGAAUAAGCACCGGCUAACUCCGUGCCAGCCGCCGCGGUAA
rnacentral:rRNA from 1 species